rnacentral:rRNA from 1 species
AGAGUUUGAUCCUGGCUCAGAACGAACGCUGGCGGCAGGCCUCAAACAUGCAAGUCUAGGGGGUGUAGCAAUACAUCACCGGCGGACGGGUGCGUAACACGUGGGAAUAUACCUUUUGGUUCGGAACAACGCAGGGAAACUUGCGCUAAUACCGAAUGUGCCCUUACGGGGAAAGAUUUAUCGCCAAAGGAUUAGCCCGCGUAGGAUUAGCUAGUUGGUGAGGUAAUGGCUCACCAAGGCUCCGAUCCUUAGCUGUUCUGAGAGGAAGAUCAGCCACACUGGGACUGAGACACGGCCCAGACUCCUACGGGAGGCAGCAGUUGGGAAUCUUGGACAAUGGGGGAAACCCUGAUCCAGCCAUGCCGCGUGAGUGAUGAAGGCCUCCGGGUUGUAAAACUCUUUCGACGGGGACGAUAAUGACGGUACCCGUAGAAGAAGCUCCGGCUAACUUCGUGCCAGCAGCCGCGGUAAUACGAAGGGGGCUAGCGUUGUUCGGAAUUACUGGGCGUAAAGCGCGCGCAGGCGGCUAUCCAAGUCAGUGAUGAAAGCCCGGAGCUCAACUCCGGAACUGCCAUUGAAACUGUUUAGCUUGAGGACGAGAGAGGUGAGUGGAAUUCCCAGUGUAGAGGUGAAAUUCGUAGAUAUUGGGAAGAACACCGGUGGCGAAGGCGGCUCACUGGCUCGUAUCUGACGCUCAGGCGCGACAGCGUGGGGAUCAAACAGGAUUAGAUACCCUGGUAGUCCACGCCCUAAACGAUGAAUGUUAGUCGUCGGGAAGCUAGUCUUUUCGGUGAUGCAGCUAACGCAUUAAACAUUCCGCCUGGGGGGUACGGUCGCAAGAUUAAAACUCAAAGGAAUAGACGGGGACCCGCACAAGUGGUGGAGCAUGUGGUUUAAUUCGAAGAUACGCGAAGAACCUUACCUAGCCUUGACAUAUUAAAGAACACUUUAGAGAUAGAGUGGUGCCUUCGGGAGCUUUUAUACAGGUGCUGCACGGCUGUCGUCAGCUCGUGUCGUGAGAUGUUGGGUUAAGUCCCGCAACGAGCGCAACCCUCGUCACUAGUUACUAACGGUUCGGCCGAGGACUCUAGUGAGACUGCCUUCGCAAGGAGGAGGAAGGUGAGGACGACGUCAAGUCAUCAUGGCCCUUACGGCUAGGGCAACACACGUGCUACAAUGGCCAGGACAAUGAGAAGCGAUACCGCGAGGUGGAGCAAAUCUAUAAACCUGGUCUCAGUUCGGAUUGUAGUCUGCAACUCGACUACAUGAAGCUGGAAUCACUAGUAAUCGUAGAUCAGCUAUGCUACGGUGAAUACGUUCCCGGGUCUUGUACUCACCGCCCGUCACACCAUGGGAGUUGAUUUCACCCGAAGCGGGAAAGCUAAACUGGCUACCCUCCACGGUGGAAUCAGCGACUGGGGUGAAGUCGUAACAAGGUA